AGAAUAUUUUGGCAAAAUUUUUGAAAGAAAAUGACGCAAAACUAUAGGGCCUGUAAAAUGGUUGCCAGUUGCUUUG
rnacentral:ncRNA from 1 species